AAGAGACAGCAGUAGCCGCGGGAAUACGGAGGGUGCAAGCGUUAAUCGGAAUUACUGGGCGUAAAGCGCACGCAGGCGGUCUGACAAGUCAGAUGUGAAAUCCCCGGGCUUAACCUGGGAACUGCAUUUGAAACUGUCAGGCUGGAGUCUUGUAGAGGGGGGUAGAAUUCCAGGUGUAGCGGUGAAAUGCGUAGAGAUCUGGAGGAAUACCGGUGGCGAAGGCGGCCCCCUGGACAAAGACUGACGCUCAGGUGCGAAAGCGUGGGGAGCAAACAGGAUUAGAUACCCCAGUAGUCCCUGUCUCUUAUAC
rnacentral:rRNA from 1 species